GACGAACGCUGGCGGCGUGCUUAACACAUGCAAGUCGAACGGAAAGGCCCUGCUUUUGUGGGGUGCUCGAGAGGCGAACGGGAGAGUAACACGUGAGUAACCAGACCUUGACUUUGGGAUAACUUCAGGAAACUGGGGCUAAUACCGGAAAGGAGCUCCUGCUGCAGGGUGGGGGUUGGAAAGUUUCGGCGGUUGGGGAUGGGCUCGAGGCUUAUCAGCUUGUUGGUGGGGUAGUGGCUUACCAAGGCUUUGACGGGUAGCCGGCCUGAGAGGGUGACCGGCCACAAUGGGACUGAGAUACGGCCCAGACUCCUACGGGAGGCAGCAGUGGGGAAUAUUGCACAAUGGGCGGAAGCCUGAUGCAGCAACGCCGCGUGCGGGAUGACGGCCUUCGGGUUGUAAACCGCUUUCGCCUGUGACGAAGCGUGAGUGACGGUACCUGGUAAAGAAGCACCGGCUAACUACGUG
rnacentral:rRNA from 1 species